GACGAACGCUGGCGGCGUGCUUAACACAUGCAAGUCGAGCGGUAAGGCCCUUUCGGGGGUACACGAGCGGCGAACGGGUGAGUAACACGUGGGUGACCUGCCCUCAGCUCUGGGAUAAGCCUGGGAAACCGGGUCUAAUACUGGAUAUGACUCCAUGACGCAUGUUGUGGGGUGGAAAGCCUUGUGCGGCUGAGGAUGGGCCCGCGGCCUAUCAGCUUGUUGGUGGGGUAACGCNCACCAAGGCUUCGACGGGUAGCUGGUCUGAGAGGACGAUCAGCCACACUGGCACUGCGACACGGGCCAGACUCCUACGGGAGGCAGCAGUAAGGAAUAUUGCGCAAUGGGCGAAAGCCUGACGCAGCGACGCCGC
rnacentral:rRNA from 1 species